GGGAUUGCCCUAGUAACGGCGAGUGAAGCGGCAACAGCUCAAAUUUGAAAUCUGGCGCAAGCCCGAGUUGUAAUUUGUAGAGGAUGCUUCUAGGCAGCGGCCGGUCUAAGUUCCUUGGAACAGGACGUCAUAGAGGGUGAGAAUCCCGUAUGCGACCGGUUGGCACCUUACACGUAGCUCCUUCGACGAGUCGAGUUGUUUGGGAAUGCAGCUCUAAAUGGGAGGUAAAUUUCUUCUAAAGCUAAAUACCGGCCAGAGACCGAUAGCGCACAAGUAGAGUGAUCGAAAGAUGAAAAGCACUUUGGAAAGAGAGUUAAAAAGCACGUGAAAUUGUUGAAAGGGAAGCGCUUGCAACCAGACUUGUUAACGGUGUUCCGCCGGUCUUUUGACCGGUCCACUCGCCGUGUACAGGCCAGCAUCGUCUGAGGCCGCCGGAUAAAGACGCGAGGAAUGUGGCUCCCCUCGGGGAGUGUUAUAGCCACGCGUGCAAUACGGCGCGACCCGGGCGAGGUCCGCGCUUCGGCUAGGAUGCUGGCGUAAUGGUCGUAAGCGG
rnacentral:rRNA from 1 species